UACGGGGGGAGCAAGCGUUGUUCGGAUUUACUGGGCGUAAAGGGCGCGUAGGCGGCGUGACAAGUCACUUGUGAAAUCUCCGGGCUUAACCCGGAGCGGCCAAGUGAUACUGUCGUGCUAGAGUGCGGAAGGGGCUACUGGAAUUCUCGGUGUAGCGGUGAAAUGCGUAGAUAUCUGGAGGAACACCGGUGGCGAAGGCGGCAUCCUGGACCAACACUGACGCUGAGGAGCGAAAGCCAGGGGAGCAAACGGG
rnacentral:rRNA from 1 species